rnacentral:rRNA from 1 species
UGGGGAAUUUUGGACAAUGGGCGAAAGCCUGAUCCAGCAAUGCCGCGUGUGUGAAGAAGGCCUUCGGGUUGUAAAGCACUUUUGUCCGGAAAGAAAUCCUUGGCUCUAAUACAGUCGGGGGAUGACGGUACCGGAAGAAUAAGCACCGGCUAACUACGUGCCAGCAGCCGCGGUAAUACGUAGGGUGCAAGCGUUAAUCGGAAUUACUGGGCGUAAAGCGUGCGCAGGCGGUUUGCUAAGACCGAUGUGAAAUCCCCGGGCUCAACCUGGGAACUGCAUUGGUGACUGGCAGGCUAGAGUAUGGCAGAGGGGGGUAGAAUUCCACGUGUAGCAGUGAAAUGCGUAGAGAUGUGGAGGAAUACCGAUGGCGAAGGCAGCCCCCUGGGCCAAUACUGACGCUCAUGCACGAAAGCGUGGGGAGCAAACAGGAUUAGAUACCCUGGUAGUCCACGCCCUAAACGAUGUCAACUAGUUGUUGGGAUUCAUUUCCUUAGUAACGUAGCUAACGCGUGAAGUUGACCGCCUGGGGAGUACGGUCGCAAGAUUAAAACUUAAAUGAAUUAACGGGGUCAUAGCUGUUUCC